rnacentral:lncRNA from 1 species
UUGUGAAAAUAGUGCUGCUGUGAACGUAUGGGUGCAUGUGUCUUUUUGAAUUGUAGUUUUGUCUUUAUAUGGGAUUGUUGGAUCAUGUGGUAUUCUAUAUUUAGUUUUCUGAAGAACCUUCAUACUGUUUUCCAUAGUGGUUGGACCAAUUUACAUUCUCAAGAGGUGGGGUAAUCUGAUGGUCUUUGUGGGCCAGAUGGAAAAUGUGGUCUUCAGAGUAGAGUGAGCAAGAUAAUCUCCUGAUGAGCAAGGCUAAUUAUUAUAUAUGAUUAUAUUUAUAACCAUGUAUAAUUAUAUUUAGAAACAUGUGCAUGUUUAAUAAUGGGUAUAUGUAUAAUAAGACACUAUUUUAUACAAGAAUAAAUAUAUGUGUAUUUAUAGGAUGGAUGCUCUCAUGUUCAGGAAUGUUUCACAACUUGUGAUGUAUGAUCAAAAAGUUUAAAGUCUACUGCACUAGUUGUUAACAUGAUUACUUGGAUCCUAGAGUUUAAAAUACAAUGCCUGGAGUUUCUGUUAUGGCUCAGCAGGUUAAGAACUUGACAUAAUCUCUGUGAGGAUGCAGGUUUGAUCCCUGGCCUCACUCAGUGGGUUAAGGAUCUGGUGUUGCUGUGAGCUAUGACAUAGGUUGCAGAUGUGGCUCGGAUCUGGCGUUGCUGUGGCUAUGGUGUAGGCUGGCAGCUGCAGCUCCAAUUCGACUCCUAGCCCUUGAACUUCCAUAUUCCACGGGUGCUGCCAUAAAAAGAAAAAAGAAAAAGGAAAAAAUUAAAAUUAAAAAAAUAAUAAUGCUCAAGGGGUAAUGGCUCAUUUACCUUGUUAAUGACUUGCAAUGGCAAUAAUUAUCACUCAUGGAGUACCUAUGGCUUUGCUCUCUCAUAUCAUCCUACAGAAGUAAGAUAAGGUGGUGUCCGGAGUAUGGGGUCUGGAGCUUGACUACCUGGAUUCAAAUCCCUGCUCAGUCAUCUCUUGGCUGUGUGACUUAAGAUGAGAAGAUACAUCGCUUCUGCUUCUAAGAGUCGGUGAUCCUCAUCCUUCUCUCUGCACCUGCCCUUGCCGUGUCCUUGGUCAGCACAGAGGAAGGACAACAGCACAUCUCCCUCACAUCGGAAGUGGCUCCACAAGUUGGCCUUCACUGCCAUCAACCCUAACAGAUGUGGUGCUCUAUCUCCACAGUCCUCCAGAGAGCCCUCAAGUCCCUCAGGGUGUCUUUACUCCAAGAAGGGGUUCUAGACUAGACAAGCAGAGGUGUUGCAGAAAGGAAGAUACUGCAAAGGAUUCAGGCAGCAAAGGGUGUGCUCCCCACACUGGGGAAGACA